AAAGAAUGAAUGAAUUCAGUCCACAGGUGUCACCGGUGAGGAAGAACUUAACCACUAUUUCCUGCAAUCCUCAACGGGCAAAGAAAAUGCUUUAGCAUCCCGUCGAGUGGUUGAGUUGGUGAGAUUCAUGUUGCAAGGGCUUCCUUCCUCUCCCUCCUUCAUCUUUGAGGAAGAAAGUGUUUGACUCGCUGCAAAACAGAGUGGAGAAAGACUCUGUACAAAUUCUGGCCCUGAAGCUUGGAGAUCCACGUGAGUCUGCAACCAUAUAUCUCCCUGGCCAGAAUGGAUACACCUGUCCUCUGUUCUGGAGUUGGUGGCAAGUUAUCAAACAAUAAUGGAGAAGAAACUACUGGGACUUGUCUCAAAUUCUUACUGAGACCUUCCUUUUCUGGAUGCUAUGAGCUCUCUGGCCUUCAAGGAAACCCAACUUCCACUUAAAAAGGAAAACUCUUCAUUGAUUUCUGCCAUUUUAAAAUUUUCUCCUUCCAUAAAAAUUGAGGCAGAGGCAUCAUCUUAGCCCUACUUCCUUCAGAGCUAUUUGCCAAACUAUAAGGUAUCAUUUUAGUUUAUACAUAAAGCUACUUGGAUGGACUUUUAACAGUCAAGGGCAUAGAGAGGCAUCAAGGAUUGUGAACUCCAUCCAACGACAGAGUAACUGUGGCAGCAUAGAUUUGGUAUCUACUAUAUUAUUGUCUGUGACUGGUCCUAGAAAAUUUGAGAGCCCAGAGCAGAGGAUUCUGUCUCAGAGCCCAGUUCUCCCUCUUGAUUUCACAGACUAUUGAGACUCGGUGAUAGCUAUUCAACUGUGCUGUCAAAUAACAUAGACAUUGUGUAAGUGGACUAGCACGGUUACAUCCCAAGGAAUCUUUGAUAAUAAAACCAUGAAGCAGACUGGAUUUGUCUUCCAUCUGCAGGUGACCAAUCUCUGAUUUAUAGACCCUGAGGCUGUGAGGAUACACUGAUAAGAUUCCCAUUCAACGUCUUUUCUAUUUUAAGUAUUUUAUUGAUUUCUUUCUCAUGACAAAAGUGAGAUAGAAUCUUUGCAAAACUUUAUAGAAAAAGCGUACAAAAUAUUAUCAGACAUAUCAAUUAGUACUUUAGGGAGUCCAUCAAAGCCGUCCUCACUUUAGGCUUUGAUAUGCUCUGAGCUUCUAUCAGAGAAGAGAAAUUUUCUGAAUUGUGAUGGGUUUUAAAGUGACAGGGUCUCAUUCUCCAACCCAGAUGACUCUCAGGCAUCUGCCUCUCCAUUGUUCCUGUUGUCACCAUUGCUUACCAGUGCCCUUAACAGACAAUAUUAAAAGUUCUAUUCUAGGAGGGUGAGUAGAGGUGACCUCAUGUCGCUUUCAUGCUUAACUCACUGUUGCUGUGUCUUCUUAAAAUAACCAGAUAUUUCUGCUCUGUUGCUGGAAAGAGACAUACCUCAUGAGAUAAGAGAAGCAGGAGACUACAAUAGAAAUGAAUGGACUGAAUUAGAUAUAAAGAAUAAGACAUUAGCUCAUAUUGUGGAAGUUAUAAGCUGGACACAGGUACAUUUUCAACCUCACAUGCAGUCAUAUUUGUUCUGACGUCAUUAACCCCAGGCAGCUGGAGGGAUGCUGAGCUGAGUGUGUGUGUGUGUGUGUGUGUGUGUGUGUGUGUGUGUGUGUGUGUGUUGGCAGUGAUCAAACCAAGGGCCUCUCACAUACUCAGUAAUCACUCCUGUCACUUACCUGUACACCAACUCAGUAGGGUUUUCAAUGUUUGAAACGUAGUUUUCAAAACACAUGUUAGCAAGGUUCACUAGGCUAUCAAUGAGACCAUAAUGCUUUGCCAACAAGAAGUCCUCAGCGAGAAGCUGUGCAACCUCUUAGGAACCUGGGACCAGACACAAACUCAUCUACCUCUGGCUGAUGGAAAGCAGAUAAUCGAUGCAGAUCCUGGUGUAUAAUAGACAACGGUACUGAUUUUAAUAGUACCACUGUGAUAAUUCCAAAUCCCCCUUGACUAUUACUUCUCCAUAUCCGUUGUCAGCAACACCCUACUUGCUAUAUAUGCUUUAUGUGUGUAAAGGUAAGAAAACAGUUCUGCUGUAAAUUACACCAUCAGUGCAUUCCAACUAGACUAUACUCUAAUUAAUGCUAAUUGGCGGUGCUCAGAUGUGAUUUCAGUAGGAGAUAAAGCACCAUUUACUUUGCAAUUCCACAAUAAGGAAAUAGUGGUUUUUGUUUCUUUACUAUAAAUAGGAAAAAGGUAAUGUAGAGAUCAACUAUAACUUCAAACCUGUAUUAGGUCUUUUUUUUUUUUUUUUAGUGGUAAUGAAUUUGAUUGUAAAUAAAAGGACAAUCCAAAUAGAAUCAUUUGGGUUAUUUUAUGUAUACAUGGAGAUUAAAUAGAUAAAUAAAAUUUUAACUGAUUUUUCAUGUUGGGGUUUUUGUUUUGCUUUAAUUAAUUAUUUUAUUCAUUUACAUUUCAAAUGCUGUCCCUCUUCCCAGUCUUCCCUCCAUGAUCCCCGACCCCAUUCCCUAUCCCUCCCUUCCCUUCGACUCUAAGAGAGUGUUCCCCUAGCCACUCACCCAUUACCACCUCACUCCUCUAGCAUCUCUCUUCUCUGGAGCAUCAACUUCCACAGGACCAAGCCCAUCCCCCUCCCACUGAGGACAGACAAAGCAGUCCUCUGCUACUUAAUGUAGUAGGGCCACAGACCAGCCAUGUAUGCUCUUUGGUUGGUGGCUUAGUCCUUGGGAGCUCUGAAGAGUCCAGUUAGUUGAUCCUGUUGUUCUUCCCAUGGGGUUGCAAUCCCCUUCAACUCCUUCAGUCCUUCCCCUAACUCUUCUAUAUGGAUCCCUGGGCUCAGUCCAAUGGUCCUUUCCAUGUGCUCUUUGUAAACAGUAAGUGUAUCAAUUAUCCUGUCCGGCAGCUCUCUCUAGUAUGUGUACCAAAUAUGGGUCUUUGGAGACCCAUAGUCAUAAAAAUAAUCAAUUUUAAAACUCACCAUUCAAUGUGUUUACAAAAUGUCAGUUAGCCCUGACAGACUAAGCUAGAAAUGUCAUCUUUUCUCUUAUGUUUUUAAAGCAAGAAACCUCAAAAGAGAAGGAGGAAGGACUUGGCUGCUUUGACUCUGGGAAGGCAGAUAAUUAUCUCCAAAAGUUCCAGAGCUUUCUUUGUGGGAGUUUGAGUGAGAAUGUCCUCAGGGCCUCAGACAUUUGAAUGCUUGGUCCUGAGUUAGUGGCUCUAUUUGGAGAGGCUUAGGAGGUGUGGCCUUGUUGGGAGGGCUUUGAGGUUUCAAACUCUCAGGACAUUCCCAGCAUGCUCUUGCUGUGUCCUGAUUGUAGUUUAACGUGUGAGCACUCAGCUUGCUUCUCCAGUCACCAUGACUGCACUCUCACUUCCCUGUCAUGAUGGUGAUGGAUUUGAUCCCUCUGGAUACAAAUCUAUAAGCCCAAAAUAUACUCUUCCAUCUAUAGUAAGUCACCUUGGCUACAAGGCUGGCAACAGAAAAGUAACUAAUGCAAUGUCGUUAAACCUUCUGGUGGCAAAACAAUCCGAAAUUUCCAUCCACACAGAGAUCAGGAUCUCCCAAACUUGCCUAGCAGGAAAGCCACAUUCCCCCCUCUCCCAAAAGUACACAUUCCUGGAAUAGCUAGCGCUCCAAGGUAUUUCUAAUAAGCUGUUCUAAUGAGCCCACACAUGUCCCAGCAGAGGUGGUUACUCUGCCCUCUUGCUAGAAUCACCCAGGGAACAUUGAAAGCAACUGAUGCCUGGGUCAACUGAACCAUCAUUUUUAUGGUUGUCCCAGCUAUGGGUCCAUUUUGAAAUUUGCCCAAAUGAUAUGGAGCAAGGGCUGAGAUGUAUCUUUGUCUCAUUUCUCAGCAUCAUUGGUCUACAGGCAUCCAACAAUUGGCAUCCUAGAACCAUGACCUACAUUUGAACAGAGGGACCUGUGUGUAGUUACAAGGCCAGCAAGGCUGUCCCAGUGAGCAGAAAGGCAACACAUACCUUUCCACUGAGAAGACCCAGUCUUUUCCUCCCCAGACCCUUAUCCUUUGGUACCACCAACCAUCAAGCAGGUAAAAAUCUUCGCAGAACUCUUUUUCUUAGUACACUCUGCCAUCGAACGCUGACCAAGAAAGGAAGAGAAAAUGACCUGUUCCAAGGAGCAUCUAUGGAAGCAUGUUUACAAUGUAAACUGCCCAUAUUCCACCAAUGGCCCAUGUCUGUCCCAGGUCCCAUAGUGAAAGACAGUCAGUCAGAAUGACUACUAUGCACACCUGUGGGUUCAUUUAGACAGUUUUCUUUAAUUAACGAUGAAGACACUACAAUUCUAAGUACCAGACAGAAUUGGGAGUAAAAGAAUUGAACACAAGCAUGACACUAUAAAGAAAGCUUGGAAGAGUGAAACACUUCUAAAGGAAAAAAAAUUAUAAACCUGGCCUGGUACCCAUUACAUAUAUACAUCAUACGUUAUCCACAUAUAUACAGUAAAUGUUUUGGUAGCAACAUAGACCAUGCGUCGGUCUUUUGUACACAGAUGAAGUAGCACCGUCGAUAGCACCACCAUCUUCAGAUGAUAAACCAAACUACACACAGCAAAUGGAAAGAUAGAUGGGAUUCGUUUGGCCCACCCUGUAGCCAAGAGGUAUAAGGAAAGUAACUACAUAAGAAAGAUUAUUCUGAAAACUAUAUUCGUAGGCCAGUGGCAAAGUUCUAAAAUGGACUAAAAAAAAAAAAUGCUACCACUACAGAUGUAUAUGCAAACAGACACAUUUUCCUGGGUAGUGAAUUUGUUCUACGGUAUGGCAUAAUGGUUAGUGCUGGAAAAAGGGACAGCGUGGACAGAGAGAGAUUUACAUAGCAGGCAAAUGGCAAAGGGAUAACACACCCAUCUCUUGGUGUAGACAUCCCAAAGGCCAAGCCAUUACGGACAAGCUAUGGAAGGGAGAUAACGCCUUACCCAAGUCAUAUGCUUAAAAACCAUAUUUGCUAAUUAUAGGUUCCUUAAUUAAGAGUAGGGCCAAACACCUCUCAGUCUCCUUCCAGUAUCUAUUUGGCGCUCUAGUUUUCAAAUAGUGAGUGAUAGAUACCCAACACAUUGGCUGCACCAUACUCUCUGCAGGCAUGUGGAAGAGACUGAUGGACAGGGCGUUUAUAGAACCUUCACAAUCUCAGGCUUGACUCAGGGAUGGCCAGAGGCCUAGUGUUUAACAUUUGGUUCUACUAACUCUAGGGAAGGCUGUCUUUGCUCUCCACAGCUAAGCCCAACAGCUCAGCAUGUAAGUCUUUUUGUUACUAUUGACAAAGUUGUGCCUACUCACACAUCUGGAAAAACAACCUGUUUCCUUCAAGAUUUUCAGCAGUCUGUGUGUGAGUAAAGCAUCACCCCUUGCUAACAUCUAUCUUGUCAUGACAGCGCUAACCCUCCUGUCCUGUCACUACGAAGAAACUAUUUCUUAUUUGGUUCCCCGAGUUGUCCUCCAUAUGCCUUCCACAAAUCCUUUUCUCCCAAUGUCAGUUUCCUGGUAUAGGACCUCUUUGUAUGACCAUCUCAUUUACAGAGCUCAGCCAAGACAGCAUGAGGUAAAUGUGGGAUUAUUCUCACCCCUAACCACAGCACUUCAGAACUGUACUAUCCCUCAUGACUCUUACUGUCAUCCUAUGGUGAGCCGUCUUCCCCUGUCUUUGAGUCACCCGUUUUAAAGGUGUUUCCAAAUGCAUGGUAUAUUGCUUUAGGAUGUUCCACUGAAUCAAAUAGGGUUUCCACACUCUACAAUAUUGUUUCUUAUAGCACAGUAAAAUUGUUUCUUAACACUUUAUCUCCCAUAUAAAUGAGAGCUAGAAGACAAACGCUAAGGAAAGACAGGAUAAAGCUCUCUACUUCUGGCUAGAUGAUUCUCGAGUAGAUAUACUGUUGUAGUCCGUAAAUUAGUCAAGAGUGUCCCUGACCUUUGAACGUUAGCAAGAAAUAACCACACAUGUAGCAUCAGUACUGAUUUGCCAUUAUUGACCCAGACGGUUGAUCAUUAAUGGAGUCCCCUCAUUUCCAGCUCGUUCUAGGGCUAUACUUUUGCCCAAAAGAAAGGUAUCAUCAUAGCCAAGGGAAAUACUUGUUAUUUUCACAAAGGAGAAUUAAAAAAAAGAAACCAUGUCUUAACAAGUCUUUAAGAAAGAAUGCUGUGAAAGGUUGGUCUCGAAAAGAAAAAGCCGCUAACUUCCAGAUUAGCCAGAAGCCACUAGAAGCCCCAUUAAUAUAAACCCUUGGUUGGCCUGCAAUACUUGGAAAUAGAUAAAGGCCAACCCCCCUUUAAUAGGAAUUGAACACAAGAACUUAGCAGCUGAUGUGCUUAAAGUAAACCCUUCAAGGAACCAGGGCAUGAGAUUUCAGCCUGGGUACCAGCAACUUCCAGUUCUAAGUCAGCCAAGCUUGAUGCCUUCAUCAACCCCAGCUCAGGUAAAGUCUAGAAGAAGCUGACUAAGAAUGUCUACCUUUACACUACUGACUCGAUACAAAGCAAGAGAUAGAGAAACCAGGUGACGAUUGUCCAGUCUGUUCGUCUGUUCUCACCCCAAAUGUCAAUAACCCCACAUGCAGGGGUACGUUAGUCAUGGAUAGUCAAAGCCUAGGCUCCUUGAGAAACCUUAGCCAGCUUUGCAGGCAAAUGUUUGGGGCUGACAUUGUUCACUGGUCUCUCUUCAGUAACUCAGUAAUCCUUGAGGGAAGAGAGCGAGUAGGCUUGCCUUCUUCUUACCUUAGCAAGAAUCUGAGUCAGAAUACUUAAAAAAAAAAAUCACUUCAACAACGAGAGUCUUUUCUCACACAUUUGUAAAAGACCAACUUCCACUUCCUAUUUUCAAAGCCAGUGGGGUUUUCUACUGACAGCAAAUGAUGUCAUUCGGCGAGUUCCUUGAAAACAAUGAGUUCUUAUGACUAGAGACCUAUUUACCUUAGAAAUUGAUGAGCAUGCAAAUGAUUAGGAUCUGCAACACUGAACAUUGUACAUCUGGUUGACUGAACACUAACCCGAGCCUCAGCAGUUGGGGGUCUGUUUAUCUCGUUGAAUAGAGUCAGGGGUCCCCAACCAGUUGUUCAGGGCAACUGGGCACUGCGGUGCCUUCCUUCCAACCCUUGCUCCUUCCUUGUAGCCCCACCCAGGUGGCUCAACCCUUCCCAGAAGUAGAGUGUUGCUCCUCCCUGCAGCAGGACUGAGUUCCCAGGGACUCAGAGGUAGCCUGAUCGCUGAAUCGAUCCACUGUCAUGUCAGGGAGUUUUGAUGGCAAGACGACUUACAAUUCAGGAGGAAACGUCUUCAGGUGCAGUCGUUGCCAUUGAUAUUUGAUGAAG
rnacentral:sRNA from 1 species